AUAUGAGUCUCUAUCAGCGGCGUGCGGUGGCGAGAUGUCUCACAGGAAAUUCUCAGCUCCCAGGCAUGGGUCCUUGGGCUUCCUGCCUCGAAAGCGUAGCAGCUGGCAUCGUGGGAAAGUGAAGAGCUUCCCUAAGGAUGACGCUUCCAAGCCUGUUCACCUCACAGCCUUUCUGGGUUACAAGGCUGGCAUGACCCACAUCGUCCGGGAAGUUGACAGGCCAGGAUCUAAGGUGAACAAGAAAGAAGUCGUGGAGGCUGUGACCAUUGUGGAACCCCCCCCCCCAAUGGUGGUUGUGGGCAUUGUGGGAUAUGUUGAGACCCCACGAGGCCUCCGGACCUUCAAGACUGUAUUUGCUGAGCACAUCAGCGAUGAGUGUAAAAGGCGCUUCUAUAAGAACUGGCACAAGUCUAAGAAGAAGGCUUUCACCAAGUACUGUAAGAAAUGGCAGGAUGACACAGGCAAGAAGCAGCUGGAGAAGGACUUCAACAGCAUGAAGAAGUACUGCCAGGUCAUCCGCAUCAUUGCCCACACUCAGAUGCGUCUGCUUCCUCUGCGCCAGAAGAAGGCACACUUGAUGGAGAUCCAGGUGAAUGGAAGCACUGUGGCUGAGAAGCUCGACUGGGCCCGAGAGAGACUCGAGCAGCAGGUUCCCGUGAACCAGGUGUUUGGCCAGGAUGAGAUGAUUGAUGUCAUCCGCGUGACAAAAGGCAAAGGGUACAAAGGGGUAACCAGUCGUUGGCAUACAAAGAAACUGCCCCGAAAGACACAUCGAGGUUUGCGCAAAGUUGCCUGUAUUGGAGCCUGGCACCCUGCCCGUGUCGCCUUCUCUGUGGCUCGAGCUGGGCAGAAAGGCUACCAUCACCGAACAGAGAUUAACAAGAAGAUUUAAAAGAUUGGUCAAGGCUACCUCAUCAAGGAUGGCAAACUGAUCAAGAACAAUGCAUCUACAGACUAUGACUUGUCUGACAAGAGCAUCAACCCACUGGGUGGCUUUGUCCAUUAUGGUGAGGUGACCAAUGACUUCAUCAUGCUCAAAGGCUGUGUGGUGGGGACCAAGAAGCGAGUACUUACUCUUUGUAAGUCCUUGCUGGUCCAGACCAAAUGUCGGGCCCUGGAGAAGAUUGACCUGAAGUUCAUUGACACCACCUCCAAAUUUGGCCAUGGUCGCUUCCAGACCAUGGAGGAGAAGAAAGCAUUCAUGGGACCACUCAAGAAAGAUCGCAUUGCGAAGGAGGAAGGCGCUUGAUUCCAGGACCACUUUGUGCAGAUGGUGGGGUCUCACCAAUAAAAUAUUUCUACUAAAAAAAAAUAAAAC